GAAAAGAAACCAACAGGGAUUGCCUUAGUAACGGCGAGUGAAGCGGCAAAAGCUCAAAUUUGAAAUCUAACGCCUCUGGUGUUCGAGUUGUAAUUUGGAGAGGCAUCUUCCGGAGGGGCCCAGCCUAUGUGCCUUGGAACAGGACGUCAUAGAGGGUGAGAAUCCCGUUCUUGGCUGGAUGUUCCCUCCUUUAUGUAGUGUCUUCUACGAGUCGAGUUGUUUGGGAAUGCAGCUCAAAAUGGGUGGUAAAUUUCAUCUAAAGCUAAAUACUGGCGAGAGACCGAUAGCGCACAAGUAGAGUGAUCGAAAGAUGAAAAGCACUUUGAAAAUAGAGUCAAAAAGUACGUGAAAUUGUUGAAAGGGAAGCGCUUGAGACCAGAGUCAGCCUUUGGCAAACAAUUGUCCUUUGGGGCGGUGCACUUGUCAUUGGUUGGGCCAGCAUCGAUUGGGACGGUGGGAUAAAGGCUUGGGAAAUGUGACUCCAUUACGGAGUGUUAUAGUCCCAGGUGUCAUGCCAUCAGUCCCGAUCGUGGACCGCGCUUUGGGUCGGAUGCUGGCUUAAUGGUCUUCA
rnacentral:rRNA from 2 species